UGUAGAAAAGUUGUACACAAGAUAUAAAAAAGAAUCUUUAUCUCACACCAUAUUAAACCAUUACAUUAUUCGCUACACUACAAUCAGAAUUUGAAAUCGAAUAUUUUAUAAGUAACUGAGUACUUUAACAAAGUUAAAACACGAUAUCAAUGUAUUAAUGUGUGUAUUAUGCCUUCUUUGUUAUCAAUAUUUUUAACACCCAGUAUCGAUAAUUUAUACACAAUGGCGUACCCCGGAGUUUUUAUUAUGAGAGAAUUUAGUAAAAAAAUAAUCAUUAGUUCAUGAAUAAAUCGUAGAAUUUUCUUCUUUUAUACUUGAUAUUUAACCCGACAAUAAUAAAUUAUUUAUUUAUUUAUUUUAUUUAAUACAAUUUAUUAAAAAUACGGGCAGAAGCCCUAAGUUAUACUAAUUUAAAAGCCGGUUUAAAUAAAACAAAUGUCUUCAAUAAAUCUAGCUUUUCAGAUUCUAUGUGAAGUGAGAGAUGUGUUUUAAAAUGAUGUUUUUUAUUUUUUUUUUUGUCUACAAUGAAUAACUUGUCUACCAGAAAUCUUGCUCGGAUUUUAAAAUGUAUCUUUUCUCAAAUAAAAUUUUAUCUCUUUGGUACUUAAAGGAGGUCA